ACUCAAAGGAAUUGACGGGGGCCCGCACAAGCGGUGGAGCAUGUGGAUUAAUUCGAUGCAACGCGAGGAACCUUACCUGGACUUGACAUCCUGGGACAGCCGUAGAAAUACGGUCUUCCCUUCGGGGACCCGGAGACAGGUGGUGCAUGGCUGUCGUCAGCUCGUGUCGUGAGAUGUUGGGUUAAGUCCCGCAACGAGCGCAACCCUUGCCGUUAGUUGCCAGCAUUUAGUUGGGGACUCUAACGGGACUGUCGGUAACAAGCCGAAGGAAGGUGGGGAUGACGUCAAGUCAGCAUGCCCCUUAUGUCCAGGGCUUCACACGUGCUACAAUGGCCGGUUACAAAGAGAAGCGAAACUGCAAAGUCAAGCCAAUCUCCAAAGCCGGUCUCAGUUCAGAUUGAGGGUUGCAACUCACCCUCAUGAAGGCGGAAUCGCUAGUAAUCGUGAAUCAGCAUGUCACGGUGAAUACGUUCCCGGGCCUUGCACACACCGCCCGU
rnacentral:rRNA from 1 species